AACUUUCAACAACGGAUCUCUUGGUUCCGGCAUCGAUGAAGAACGCAGCGAAAUGCGAUAAGUAAUGUGAAUUGCAGAAUUCCGUGAAUCAUCGAAUCUUUGAACGCACAUUGCGCCCUCUGGUAUUCCGGGGGGCAUGCCUGUUCGAGCGUCAUUGCAACCCCUCAAGCACA
rnacentral:rRNA from 1 species